GACGAACGCUGGCGGCGUGCCUAAUACAUGCAAGUCGAACGCAGUGGGGACGGGUGAGUAACACGUGGGUAACCUCCCAUCAGAGGGGAUAACACUUGGAAACAGGUGCUAAACCGAUACUGCUGGCUGGACCCGCGGUGCAUUAGCUAGUUGGUGAGGUAACGGCUCACCAAGGCUACGAUGCAUAGCCGACCUGAGAGGGGGAUCGGCCACACUGGGACUGAGACACGGUCCAGACUCCUACGGGAGGCAGCAGUGGGGAAUAUUGGACAAUGGGCGAAAGCCUGAUCCAGCCAUGCCGCGUGUGUGAAGAAGGUCUUCGGAUUGUAAAGCACUUUAAGUUGGGAGGCGUUACCGACAGAAUAAGCACCGGCUAACUCUGUGCCAGCAGCCGCGGUAAUUC
rnacentral:rRNA from 1 species